rnacentral:rRNA from 1 species
UUGUCGUCAGCUCGUGUCGUGAGAUGUUGGGUUAAGUCCCGCAACGAGCGCAACCCUCGACCUUAGUUGCCAGCAUUCAGUUGGGCACUCUAAGGUGACUGCCGGCUAAAAGUCGGAGGAAGGUGGGGAUGACGUCAAAUCAUCAUGCCCCUUAUGACCUGGGCUACACACGUGCUACAAUGGGCGGUACAAAGGGUCGCGAACCCGCGAGGGGGAGCCAAUCCCAAAAAGCCGCUCUCAGUUCGGAUUGCAGGCUGCAACCCGCCUGCAUGAAGCCGGAAUCGCUAGUAAUCGCGGAUCAGCAUGCCGCGGUGAAUACGUUCCCGGGCCUU